rnacentral:misc_RNA from 1 species
GGAAGGAUCAUCAACAAGAAUGUUAUGCUAUGUGUUAUACUAUUGUAUGCAUAUAUGCAUGAUAUACAUACCAAUGUGAAUUGAGGGUUCAUUCCCUUUAGUUUGUGUGGUAACGCACAAUAUAAACGCUUUAAAAGAGUCUAACAAAAUAAUAUAAUAAUAACAACUUUUAACAAUGGAUCUCUUGGCUCUUGCAACGAUGAAGAACGCAGUGAAUUGCGAUAAGUAAUGUGAAUUGCAUCACUUGUGAAUCAUCAAAUCUUUGAACGCACUAGGCACUUUCCGGGUCUACUGGAGAGUAUACCUGUAUGAGUAUCAGAAAACACUCCAACUAGCGUUGGGUACUGAGGUUUAGUCAGUCAUUACCGACUAUUGCUCUAAAUGGAGGUGACGUUAGGUAUUCUUUAACGUUGAUGUCUAACAGUGCGGUAAGAAAAAGUUAGUUUUUCUCCCACUUAUUAUAACAAGACGUUAUAGAACUACUGUGUUACUCUGUGUUGCUUUAUGAAUUCUUGAUCUCAUAUCAGGUAGGAACACCCGCUGAACUUAAGCAUAUCAGUAAGCGGAGGAAAAGAAACUAACAAGGAUUCCCUUAGUAACGGCGAGUGAAGUGGGAAAAGCUCAAGUUUUAAAUCCAAGAGUUAUUAUAGCUCUUUGAGUUGUAAACUAUAGAAGCGUUUUCAAGUAUCAGCGGUAGUAAAAGUUCUUUGGAACAAGACAUCAGAGAGGGUGAGAAUCCCGUAUUUGAUUACUGUCUGUUAUGCUAUUAUGAUACGCUUUCAAAGAGUCGAGUUGUUUGGGAAUGCAGCUCAAAAUGGGUGGUAAAUUUCAUCUAAAGCUAAAUAUUGGCAAGAGACCGAUAGCGAACAAGUACCGUGAGGGAAAGAUGAAAAGAACUUUGAAAAGAGAGUUAAAUAGUACGUGAAAUUGUUAAAAGGGAAACGAUUGAAACCAGUAUUUUUAAUAGGAAUUCAGUCAUUUUCGGUGGUGGGUAGUGUUAUCAAGAAAGGCCAUAAACCUUCUUGGUGCAUUGCUAUACUGAUUGAAGAUGGUGCACUUUUUCUAUUAAAGAGUCAACAUCAGUUUCAUGUAUUGGAUAAAGGUUAGAGAAAGGUGGCCUUUUUAAAGGUUUUAUAGUCUCUUUCUGUAUAUACAAUAUGUCGGGACUGAGGAUAAUAUACAGCAGCGUAGCGCAAGCAUUUCCUUAACUGCCUAAUUGUUUUUGGCAACUGAAGACUAUAUAAUAGACUUUUGGUGUUCAAGGACUUUUAAGGUAGAGCGGGUUACAUACGCUUAAGAUGUUGACGAAAUGGUUUUAAACGACCCGUCUUGAAACACGGACCAAGGAGUCUAACGUAUAUGCAAGUAUUAGAGUGGCAAACUCUGAUGCGCAAUGAAAGUGAAUGAUGGGACUCUUUGGAUGCACCAUCAACCGAUCCUGAAGUUUUUUAAUGGAUGGAUUUGAGUAAGAGCAUAUCUGUUGGGACCCGAAAGAUGGUGAACUAUGCCUGAAUAGGGUGAAGCCAGAGGAAACUCUGGUGGAGGCUCGUAGCGGUUCUGACGUGCAAAUCGAUCGUCAAAUUUGGGUAUAGGGGCGAAAGACUAAUCGAACCAUCUAGUAGCUGGUUCCCUC